GGUGCCCGUUACGGGGAAAGUAGAGACAGGUGGUGCAUGGUUGUCGUCAGCUCGUGUCGUGAGAUGUUGGGUUAAGUCCCGCAACGAGCGCAACCCUUAUUGUUAGUUGCUACGCAAGAGCACUCUAGCGAGACUGCCGUUGACAAAACGGAGGAAGGUGGGGACGACGUCAAAUCAUCAUGCCCCUUAUGUCCUGGGCUACACACGUAAUACAAUGGCGGUCAACAGAGGGAUGCAAAGCCGUGAGGUGGAGCGAACCCCUAAAAGCCGUCUCAGUUCGGAUCGCAGGCUGCAACUCGCCUGCGUGAAGUCGGAAUCGCUAGUAAUCGCGGAUCAGAAUGCCGCGGUGAAUACGUUCCCGGGCCUUGUACACACCGCCCGUCACACCAUGAGAGUCGGGAACACCCGAAGUCCGUAGCCUAACAGCAAUGAGGGCGCGGCCGAAGGUGGGUUUGAUAA
rnacentral:rRNA from 1 species